UUUUUUUUACCGCACAUUGUAAACCUGAGACAAACUAUGUGAUCCUCCAUCACAACUCAUUCUAAAGGCUUCUCUAUCUUCCUCCAAAGCAAAACUCCAAACAAAGCCAAAAAAUAAAACCUCACUCAUCACAUCUCUUAGCUAAUGAGGAACUAAAAGGCCAAAAAGGGUGCUCAUAAAAAAGGCUAGCAAGUAUCACUGUCUGUCACUCUGUCUAGCUCUCUUCCUCCAGGACUUGUUGAAGAAGAGAUGGGCUCCUAACAAACCUUCCCUGCAAGAAUCCAAGCACAGAAACAACAAAUCAGUAACUUGCAAGAUCUGCUCUGAUAGUGCUAUAAUGUAUAGCUCUAGGUGAAACAAAUGGGGGUAUUAUGUUGUGAACAAUGAGUUCUUUGGUUUUUGCCUUACAAUUAAAUGGACCUUUUUUUAUGCUUUCAAGAAUCAGUUCUAGUGCUUGCCUUCAUCCGAGGCCGGCAGUCUGCGUUCACCUUCCGGACCUGGUACCGGAUCUUCUUCGAGAACAGUCGGGUGCGCCGCUUCUCCUUGUACCUCAUGACGCUGGCUUCC
rnacentral:sRNA from 1 species